AGAGCGAACGCUGGCGGCAGGCCUAACACAUGCAAGUCGAGCGGCCGUAGCAAUACGGCAGCGGCAGACGGGAGAGUAACACGUGGGAACGCGCCCUUCGGUUCGGAAUAACUCAGGGAAACUUGGGCUAAUACCGGAUACGCCCUUACGGGGAAAGAUUUAUUGCCGAAGGAACGGCCCGCGUCCGAUUAGCUUGUUGGUGAGGUAACGGCUCACCAAGGCGACGAUCGGUAGCUGGUCUGAGAGGAUGACCAGCCUCACUGGGACUGAGACACGGCCCAGACUCCUACGGGAGGCAGCAGUGGGGAAUAUUGGACAAUGGGCGCAAGCCUGAUCCAGCCAUGCCGCGUGGGUGAUGAAGGCCCUAGGGUUGUAAAGCCCGUUUCGGGCGGGAAGAUAAUGACGGUACCCGCAGAAGAAGCCCCGGCUAACUCGCGCCAGCAGCCGC
rnacentral:rRNA from 1 species